AACGCGCGAGUGUUAAAAUCGACGAACGGUUUCGUAAAUAUUUUAAAUAUUUAUUUUACUUGGUUGUUUUUUUCCAAUUUGUGCGGUUCGGUGACGGUGCAGGAACGGCCGGGAUAAGACCAGUUCUUCUCAUCGGGAUCGGAGAAGAGUCAAGAGAAAAGGAAUUAGGUGUCCCAGUUAUCAGAGUUCCGCCGGUUGGCAUCUCAUCGUUGUCAAAAUGUAGCGCGCGGCAAUGAACAUCGAUGCGUUGAUCAAUGGUCAACAAUUUCCACACGUGGGUGAUUGCGCAAUGAAAAAACGGAGACCUUUCAAUUCCCAGCUAAAAUCGUAAUCGGGUGAAAUCUACGAAUUAUGAGCGGCAUGAAAAACGCACGAAGAGCAAACAUCAAGGGUGUCCGAAUCGCAGCAUCCUUUCAAGCUACAGAUUCCAGGAGUGGUUAAAACAAAUUCAAAGACCGC
rnacentral:lncRNA from 1 species